UGGAUUAGGCAUGCAAGUCGAGCGAUCGUAGCAAUACGGGAGCGGCAAACGGGGUAGGAAUACCUCGGAACAUACCCUCAGGUCGGGGAUAGCGGCGGGAAACUGCCGGUAAUACCCGAUGAUAUCGAGAGAUCAAAGGUUUACUGCCUGGGGAGUGGCCGAGGCGAUAUUAGCUAGUUGGUGAGGUAAUGGCUCACCAAGGCAUAGAUGUCUAGGGGGCGUGAGAGCGCGACCCCCACCACUGGGACUGAGAAACUGCCCAGACACCUACGGGUGGCUGCAGUCGAGAAUCUUCGUCAAUGGGGGAAACCCUGAACGAGCGACGCCGCGUGUGGGAUGAAGGCCUUUGGGUUGUAAACCACUGUCAGGGGGGAUGAAACCGCAAGGUUGACAGAGCCCCAGAGGAGGCACGGGCUAAGUUCGUGCCAGCAGCCGCGGUA
rnacentral:rRNA from 1 species